AAACUUCCUCUGCCCGCCCAAGAAAGCCGAGAACAGCGCGUGCCGCAGCCAUGGAGGUGUCCCGCCGCCUCUUCCACAGCCCGCAGCCGCAGCCGUACCGCGGCCUCGCCGAGCUCCGCAUCGAGGCCGACCAGUCGCCUGUCGCCUUCUCCGACCCCUUCGCCGCCGGCCGCAAGCGCCGCUGCCUCUUCCCCGCCACCUUCUCCCCGCGCAAGAAGAUGCUGCUCGAGCUUCCCCCCUUCUCCUCCGCGCUCGCGCCUUCCACGGGGCUUGCCGCCACCGUUUCCUCCUCGGCGCUGUCGCCUUACAGCGGGAGCAACGGGAGCUUCGCGUUCCGCGCUUUCCCGGGGCAACCCGCGGCGGGCCCCACCCGCAGCCGCGCCCUGGCGUUCUUGACUUCGACGGAGCAGCCGCUGACGCCCAUGGGAUCCACCGCCAGCGGAGGGUUUGGGGUCUUGGCUUCUCGGCGAUCAUUGUCCGCCGGCCCCGGGCGCUCCAACGGAACCGGCGCCUUGGCGUUCUUGCCUUCCCCGACGCCGGCCCGCACGGGUUCCAGCGGCAAAAACUGCGGGGAAUUGGCGUUCUUGGCUUCUCUGAAUCCGGCGUUCGGGUGCACAGGUUCUUCAGCGUCCGCCGCGGCAGCCAAGGAGUUGCCUCCCGCGGGCCCUGGGAUUAGCGGCGGUGGCGGUCUCGCCGUCUCGCCGCCAUUGGCCUUUCCGGUGCGCAAUUCCGAGGGGAGCACUCUCUGGUCACGGCGCCGAGGGAACAAGCGGCCGUGGGAAGAGCAGCUGCAGAUCACCCUGCCGUUGAAGAAGGUCGCCAAGACGGAGGCGUCCGCCACCGGCGAUUCUAGACGUCGCGCCUCCGUACCCGUGUCGGCGUGCUGCACGUUCGUCAAUUCGCCGGCAAAGGACGCGAGCAAGCAGGAAACCAAAAACAACACCAUCGCCGUUAAGGACGCAUCCCGCUUCUCGUCGCCGUUCAAGUUGCCGGGCGGGACGUGCUGCGCCUUUGUCACAUCGCCGAUGAGGCCGUCUGCGGUGGAGCAGGCGAUCGGGCAGAACCCCACACUCGUACAGGAGCGGGACGCGCAGAUGUCCGGCGCGGGCGGAGAUGGCCGCAGCUCGCCGGCGGCGUGCCCAGGCGCCGAGAUGGUGGUGCGCGUGACCUGCUCGUGCGGUGCCCAUAAGGAGUUCUGCUUCGACCACCGCCACUAACAAGCUUGGUCGUCCACCACCGCCGUCGAUUACUUUCAGCAAUGGUUGGAUCGCCCCUCAGGCCCGGGGAAAGUUUUCUGCACUGUGUUUCCCUCGAACUCCAGAAAUCUGACCUGAGUUUAGGAGAACGGUAAAUUGCAUUGUGCUCAUUAGAAGAUAGGACGGUUAACUGCAUUGGGUUUAUGAGAACUGUGUGCUUGCCAUGAGAGCUGUAGCAAGUGCUCCCUCCGUCCGGCUAUACAGGCGUGCAUCGUUUUCACCGGUAUCAAGGAAAGCAGCUACUUUUUUAUUGAUUGGACCACUUUUGCAUGCACGUCUUUUUGAUUGUAUGGUUUUACUAUGAGUCUGAUAUUUGUAGACUACUAGUAAAAUGAAUCACUCCUGACGCCUCAUAACUGAAAGUGUCAAAUACGCUUGUGUUUCUUCUUCCGAACAUAUGUUGUUCCUUUGUUUCUGAUACCUUCAUUAAAUUGUUUUUCUCCACCUUGACUGUCUCCUUUUUGUAUGUUUGCUGGUGCAUGGGUGUCUGGUUUCGUCUAAACUAUCAGUAAAUGACCACCAUUUGAAUUAUUUUUUUACUUUAUGGUUUGCGUUGAACCCCGGGAUGGAGAUAUAAAGGUCCAAAGAUCGAUGGAAAGCAAUGUUUUAUCCAAAAGAAAAAUUGUAAUUAAGGUCGUUGGUAUAUUUUUAUGAACUUAACAAUUUUGAAGAAGUUUGACUUAGAACAAAAUUAAAUCAUCUUAUACUCAAUAUUUCAAAAUGGGAAUGGAGGAUUGGAGGUACUUCCUCCGUCCCGAUUUUCUCUUACAUAUAUCUAGACGCUUUUCACACGUAGUAGAUACGUCCGACAAAUUUGAGUCACUUAUUAGAGUGGGUCUUUUAAAUACUGACGACUUUAGAUUUUCUUCAUUGAUCACAGUUUUUCCUCAUUUCUUAGGCAAAUGCCCGGCGCAUCAUCUGGUCAACUAAAAACCGCGUAAAAAACAAAGACGAAAGCCAGAACGAGUGUCGUUCCCUGCGCAACUACUGCGAAGAACCCAAAACAAUUCCCCGUCCGUCGUCCACGCGGCUCGCCGGCCUUUUCUCCCACAGGCCACACCGCCCUCCUCGAUUCCUCCCGGCGUGGCGAGCGCCCGCGACGAGGGCAGCGAUGAAUCCCUUCGCGAAGAAGCCGACGCCGCGAGAGGCGAUCAGGAACAGCAAGCGCGAGCUGACGAAUGCUACAAGAGGUAUUGAGAGGGACAUUGGGACAUUACAGCUAGAGG